GAUGAACGCUGGCGGCGUGCCUAAUACAUGCAAGUCGAGCGAACAGACGAGGAGCUUGCUCCUCUGACGUUAGCGGCGGACGGGUGAGUAACACGUGGAUAACCUGCCUAUAAGACUGGGAUAACUUCGGGAAACCGGAGCUAAUACCGGAUAAUAUAUUGAACCGCAUGGUUCAAUAGUGAAAGACGGUUUUGCUGUCACUUAUAGAUGGAUCCGCGCCGCAUUAGCUAGUUGGUAAGGUAACGGCUUACCAAGGCAACGAUGCGUAGCCGACCUGAGAGGGUGAUCGGCCACACUCGAACUGAGACACGGUCCAGACUCCUACGGGAGGCAGCAGUAGGGAAUCUUCCGCAAAGGGCGAAAGCCUGACGGAGCAACGCCGCGUGAGUGAUGAAGGUCUUCGGAUCGUAAAACUCUGUUAUUAGGGAAGAACAAAUGUGUAAGUAACUAUGCACGUCUUGACGGUACCUAAUCAGAAAGCCACGGCUAACUACGUG
rnacentral:rRNA from 1 species